rnacentral:rRNA from 1 species
UACGUAGGGUGCGAGCGUUGUCCGGAAUUAUUGGGCGUAAAGGGCUCGUAGGCGGUUUGUCGCGUCGGGAGUGAAAUCCACUGGCUUAACUGGUGGCUUGCUUUCGAUACGGGCAGACUGGAGGUAUGCAGGGGAGAACGGAAUUCCUGGUGUAGCGGUGAAAUGCGCAGAUAUCUGGAGGAACACCGGUGGCGAAGGCGGCAUCCUGGACCGAUACUGACGCUGAGGAGCGAAAGCCAGGGGAGCAAACGGG